rnacentral:rRNA from 1 species
GCAGCAGGCGCGAAAACUCUACAAUGCAGGCAACUGCGAUAGGGGAACAUCGAGUGAUCCUCAUAUUGGGGGUCUGUCCACCCGUCUAAAAAACGGGUGUUAGCAAGGGCCGGGCAAGACCGGUGCCAGCCGCCGCGGUAAUACCGGCGGCUCGAGUGGUGGCCGAUAUUAUUGAGUCUAAAGGGUCCGUAGCCGGCUUUGCAAGUCUCUCGGGAAAUCCAGCGGCUUAACCGUUGGUCGUCCGGGGGGUACUACAUUGCUUGGGACUGGGAGAGGUAGGAGGUACUCAGGGGGUAGGAGUGAAAUCCUGUAAUCCUUUGGGGACCACCGGUGGCGAAGGCGUCCUACCAGAACAGGUCCGACGGUGAGGGACGAAAGCUAGGGGCACGAACCGGAUUAGAUACCCGGGUAGUCCUAGCCGUAAACGAUGCUCGCUAGGUGUCACAACAGUCGUGAACUGUUGUGGUGCCGUAGGGAAGCCGUGAAGCGAGCCACUUGGGAAGUACGACCGCAAGGUUGAAACUUAAAGGAAUUGGCGGGGGAGCAC